rnacentral:rRNA from 1 species
UACAGGGGGGGCAAGCGUUGUUCGGAAUUACUGGGCGUAAAGGGUUCGUAGGUGGCCAACUAAGUCAGACGUGAAAUCCCUCAGCUUAACUGGGGAACUGCGUCUGAUACUGGAUGGCUUGAGUGUGGGAGAGGAAUGCGGAAUUCCAGGUGUAGCGGUGAAAUGCGUAGAUAUCUGGAGGAACACCGGUGGCGAAGGCGGCAUUCUGGACCACAACUGACACUGAGGAACGAAAGCCAGGGGAGCAAACGGG